AUGACGUCAGUCAAUAUGCAGAAUUGUUCAACUUCUUUUAUCUUUGCAGAGCCACCUAGCGUAACUGAAAUGGUUAUAGUUGGAAAACUAGCAAACCAGACGUUUUAA
ensembl:lincRNA